GGUUACAGGUUGCACUGGGUAACAUGCAGAAGGAGGAGACGGUUGCGUUGAAGAAGGGAUUUAACAGUUACAAGAGUGCUGGGAAUGAAGAACCAGACGCGACUCAAGACCUUCUUCUUUCCUACAGGUGCCGUUUUUCCUCUGGGGACCCCAAAACGCGUCCCUAAGUCCCCUGGGUGGGGUCUAAACGAGUUUGUGGUCUACAAGGAGAACCAGGUCUGUCUUCGAUAUCUGGUCCAGAUAAAGGCUUAGACCAAGCUACAAUGGAACUGUAUCUACUCAACCGAAGGAUGUUUUACUUCAGGUCGAUUUGGGGAACUGAUCCCAUAGUUGAACUGGGCCUGUAUUCAAACUUGUGAAAUAAUACUUUUGAAUGUAGUUUUUUCUGAUGAGUAGCAAUGAAGGAUCCUUAAACAGCUGACUUGAUUUGUGUCUGCAGUAGAAAUUGGGAACAUGUUCAUACACGAAGGGAAUGUAGGUUGUUCAAGAAAUACAAGUAUUAACAAAUAUUUUUGGUAACAUACAUGGAAUCAUGUGCAUUAAUUGAAAUAUUUAGAUUUGUAAGACGACACCAAGCUGCUAUUUGGUGAGAACAAAUAUGAAAUAAACCAGAGCUAGGACUUUUGGAACCUCGAGUUAAAAAAAAAAAAAAUCUCAUUGUAUUUUGUUGAUCAAUCACCAGGCUGGGAGAUCAGUAGGCACAUGAAAGAAUAAACAUGGAAGCAGCACAGGAAUCAAAUAAAUGAUCGCAUUCUGUUUCUUUUACAAAAGUAUGAACAAAAUAGACAAGAGUUCUAAAGAAAUGAAAAUGUAGGACUCAAUCUGAAACAAUAAGACACGUGUAGAUCUGUAGAAGGUAUGGAACAGUGGUAACUUUUACUGCGUGUACAGUGUAAUUAUGGUUUGUUCAAUAUAUCAACUUUCAACAUUUUGCCAGUAAUGUGAAAGUUUAUUAGAGUAAAUUUGUAGAUUCCAGUAUUAGGUACAGAAAAGAAAAAGAAGAAAAAUCUGUUUCAGCUUUCAACUUGUAGAUUUACUGUGGGCAAGGACAUGGGCAAGUAACUACCCAAGUCAAUUGCCAUUGUUCACUUGUUGUGACCUUAUUUAUAGCUUGCGUUUUAGUGUAUGGUGCUGUAGUACUUUUGCAGUAGUGUUUUUGCAAUAGGAUUUUAUUGAAAUUUUAAAAUUAGGCGGCAUAAUUAAUGUAAUGGUCAAUUUUUCAAUGCCUUUAGGAGUCUCGCAUUUGGAUUUAUAAUGUAUGUAAAUAAGCUUUGCAUGAAUUUUUAGUAAUUUGUAUUGUUUUUAGCCAGGCAGUGAGUUUUGUUGUAGAUUAUUGAGUUUUGCCAAUGAAUCAUCCACUUUUUGUACAUGUUUAGAGGAAGAAGAAUUGCAUUAAAAUCAGAAUGAAGACUGCAGAUUUUGGGAGGUCAAUUUUUUUUUAAAGAAAGAAGAAAAGGUUGUACAUAGUUAUAUUUUUCUUGGAACAAUUUUCUGAGUGGACUAUGUACAUGUUUCAGGCUUAACAUUAUUCCAUAUCAUUGCAACGAGUCGGCGUGAAGAGAAAAUUUUCAUUUUGAUGUUCAACUCUACUGGUGUUGUACUAAACUGUACUAUUUUACCUCCCAUUUUGAAGAAAAAAAAAACCUGGAAUAUGAACCACAUGUGAAAUAGUCAGCUAGAUGGUUACUUUAUAAGUAUUGAAAAUGAAAUGCAACUCUUCUACCCAAGCACAAUUAGUCAUUGACACAACUCUUAUCGCUCUACAGAACAAAACCAUUGUGAAUUCUGCGAUGAACAUGCCUAUUAGCUGGCAACCCUUUUUAUGUGUAGAUAAAUCAUGUUUCAUAAUUUCAGUAAUAAGUCCUUCAAGUGCAUUUCAGACUCUCUGGUACAUGAUUAGGUCAGAUAUGUGAACAUAAAACUUUCACAUUUUAAAAUCAUGCAUUUGAUUUGAUCUUUAAAAAAAAUGUUUGUAUAUACUUAGGUAAAUGUUUUUUAAUUGAUUUGUUUUUUUAUUCAAAUGUCCUGCCAUUUAAACAAAAUUUAAGGUUGUAAAUCAUGAUUGUGUGAAUUUAAAGUAACUCUGCCAAUGUAAAUGAUCAUGAGGUGUAUAAUUUAGUCAGAAUGCUUAUGUAUUGGAACAUCUCCCAUAUUGUGAUUAUGCUUGUUUAAAUUUGAAUUUCCAAUGUAAUUUCAACAAUGCAUUCUAAAUGCGUCUCUUUAGUAGGUUCAAUGAAAAUGAAACGAAUGCAAUAUGAACAACAGUUUGUAAUUUUGCAUGUUUACUUUUCAAUUUUGAGAUUUCUUAACAAAUUAACUAAGUGACACUCUGAAUGGAACAGUGACGUAGUAAACAGUUUUGGGGAAUACCUUGCUGGGUGCAUUUGGUCGCAACAGAUCAUGCCUCUGUAUAUUGAACACAUUUAGUUGUAGAUCUUGCUUGCUGUCGAGGCACAUUAUGAGGAUCUCUUGGCCAAUUAAGUUAAAUAAUUGCCUUUAUUGAGGGAAAAGUAAGGAUUACGAGGCGAUUUAAUUAUCACAGGUAUGCCUUAGGCUUAUAGAACACUGUUGCAUUGAUAUUGUUACACAACCAAGACUUUCUUCAUAAGUUUAUACUUUCCCCCUUUGGGUUUGUAUGUAGAGAUUCUUUUGUAAAUGAUUAGUUGAAUGUUGUUUUAAUGUUUCUGCAAUCCAUACAUGGAUUUUCGUCUGCCAUUAAGUUUUAAUUUGUCUGAAACCUGAACAAAGGAUGUUCCUACCAUUAUGUUGAGUUAUGGAAGAUUUGCCUAGCAUCAAAAAGUUCUGGCUCUAAAUACUAGCAUGAGGCCACAAUUUUUUUUGAAGUCUACCGCAUCAACAGUGCUCAAUCAUCCAUGUAAGAUAGUAAUUAUUCUGUGAAUAUGAUUUUUUUUAAACCCAUUUUUGUUUUGUCUUCAAUAACACUUGUCUGUAUUCUUAGUCCUCUCACGUUAUGUCUUGUAUAGCCAAUAGUAUGAAGUCAACGUUUUCACAGUUCCUUCACUGAACCUUUUUUUAUACAAAUGUUGUCUUUGUUGUAAUCUCAAACAAUAUACUAUAUUGCUUGAAUUAAUA